rnacentral:rRNA from 1 species
ACGAACCUCUGGUGUGCCAGUUGUUCCGCCAGGAGCACCGCUGGUUGGCUACGUUCGGAAGGGAUAACCGCUGAAAGCAUCUAAGCGGGAAGCCUGCUUCAAGAUGAGGUUUCCAUACCCUACGGGGUGAGAGGCACCCAGCAGAACACUGGGUCGAUAGGCCGGACGUGGAAGCGGGGACGAAAGACCCGUGCAGCUGACCGGUACUAAUCAGCCGACAACUUCAACACCAACAA